rnacentral:rRNA from 1 species
CGGAGGAUGCGAGCGUUAUCCGGAUUUAUUGGGUUUAAAGGGUGCGUAGGCUGAUACUUAAGUCAGAGGUGAAAUUUCACGGCUCAACCGUGGAACUGCCUUUGAUACUGUAUAUCUAGAGUUUAGUUGAUGUGGGCGGAAUGUGUCAUGUAGCGGUGAAAUGCAUAGAGAUGACACAGAACACCGAUCGUGAAGACAGCUCACUAAACUAUAACUGACGCUCAGGCACGAAAGCGUGGGGAGCAAACAGGA